AUUGAACGCUGGCGGCAGGCCUAAUACAUGCAAGUCGAACGGACACACGAAGCAGUUUGCUCUCUGGCUGACGCGUGGGGCGGGUGAGUGAAACGUCGGUGACAUUGCUUGAAGGCGGGGGUUACUUCCGGGAACCGGUAGCAAAUACCGCAUAUAGUUUCAACACCAAGGAGCAGGACUUUAAGGCCUCUUUGCUUCGGAUGUGAGAUGAAGCCACUUCGUAUUAGCUAGGUGGUCAGGUAACGGCUUACCAAGGCGACGAUGCGUAGCCGACCUGAGAGGAUGACCGGCCACACUGGAACUGAGACACGGUCCAGACUCCUACGGGAGGCAGCAGUAGGGAAUCUUCCGCAAUGGGCGAAAGCCUGACGGAGCAACGCCGCGUGAGUGAUGAAGGUCUUCGGAUCGUAAAACUCUGUCAUCAGGGAAGAAGAAAUGUGUAAGUAACUCUGUACGUAUUGACGGUACCUACAGAGAAAGCCCCGGCUAACUCCGUG
rnacentral:rRNA from 1 species